rnacentral:rRNA from 1 species
CGUAGGGGGCAAGCGUUGUCCGGAUUUACUGGGCGUAAAGAGCGUGCAGGCGGCCAAGCAGGUCCGUUGUGAAAACUGGAGGCUUAACCUCCAGACGUCGACGGAAACCGCGCGGCUAGAGUCCGGAAGAGGAGAGUGGAAUUCCUGGUGUAGCGGUGAAAUGCGCAGAUAUCAGGAAGAACACCAAUGGCGAAGGCAGCUCUCUGGGACGGUACUGACGCUGAGACGCGAAAGCGUGGGGAGCGAACAGGAUUAGAUACCCUGGUAGUCCACGCCGUAAACGAUGGGUGCUAGGUGUGGGAGGUGUCGACUCCUUCCGUGCCGUAGCUAACGCAUUAAGCACCCCGCCUGGGGAGUACGGCCGCAAGGCUA